CCAAGUGCAGACCAAUUCCUUAUAAAUCCACCUUUAUUUUUGGAGGUCAGAAAAGUGAUGAUCCACUUUGGACUUGUGACUCUUCCAAACUGUAAGUCUGAGAACAAGGUUCUAGAAGAAAUCAAGAGACAUGAUGAAAACUUAACAAACUUGGAUGGAGAGAAUAGGCCUUGAUAAGUUGAUGAUUCAUACGACUUAACUAGAAAGAGUGAGUUGUUGGAUAUCAAGUCAUGGAGGAAGGAGAGAAGGUCUUGAUUCAUGAGAAUACUAAACCAAUAUCCAUAAGAUUAAUGUUA
rnacentral:lncRNA from 1 species